AAGACUAUACUUUCAGGGAUCAUUUCUAUAGUUUGUGACUUGAGGAAUGUGUUUCUAAAGUGUAUGGUCUCGCUGACCACGAUGAAGUGUCGUUGGUACUCCUUCCUGAACAUAAAACAGGUAGAGACAUGACGUUAGUGUUGUUCUCUGCUCCUGAUAUUGUUCAUUGUUUCACCUGGAGACAGUGAUGGAAGGAGUGUGAUCUGAGUGGG
rnacentral:snoRNA from 1 species